rnacentral:lncRNA from 1 species
CACACGAAAAAAAUAGAGGGUCUGGAAGAAAAAUCUUAGGGUUUUGAAGAAAAAUAGUUUUCUAUAAUUUGUGAUUUGAUUUUCUUUUUCUAAAAUAUUCCAGAUAACCAAAAAAAUAUUUCUGUUUUUUUAGUUGAGUGAAGAUUUGACUUCAGGUAGUUCGUUUUAAAAAAAUGUUGUUUAUCAUCUUUGAUUUCUGGUUUCAAAAAAAAAGUGGAUGCAAGUUGAGGUUUGAAGCUGAUUCAAUUCGUCGUUUGGAGGUUCGAGUUCGGGGUUCCGAUUGAGGUUUUUGAUUGUUGUUGUUUGCUCUCGUCGGACUUCUGGAAUCAGAAUUUGUGUAUUUGUUGAUUCUUUAACUGUUGCUAAGAAUUUUGGUUUAAUAGGUACCUUUCUAUUACUCCUGCCUCUAUAUUGUUUCUUAGUUUGUGGUUAAAUGAGAGAUUGUUGGUCUGAAUUUUUGGAUGCCAAAAUAUUUGUGAUCAUUUUUCUGUUUGUGAUACUAAAAUUAGUUUGUCUUCUCUUAUGAGGUAAAAUUGAAGAUUUGAAUGAGUUUUUUUAGUUAAUAAAUGGGUUCAUCUAUUUUAUCUCAAAUUAUGAUAUUUGAGUAGUGAAAUUUUACUACAAGAUUUUCAACACAAAUUUGGUCCAACUCAGUGUUCUUUCUUUCGAGAUUUAGCUUGUGUAUAAAUUUUGCCUAUUAAACUUUUCUUAUUAGCUUACAGUAGGCUUAAGGUAUGAAUUUCCUGCCUUAUUUUAGUUGUAAUGACCUUAUGUUAAAUUGGUGGAAUUUAAGCAAUAUGAUACCAAAUUUUGGUUAAGUAGCUGCAAAUCUCCCGAGCUCUCUUAGGUGUUAAAUCUGCUUAAUUACUUGAUGUGUGGAUUAUUGUUAUUUUGCAAAGGUGUCAUGUUUAUAUUAUUUACUUGGAUGUUUCACGGAAUUGAGGUUGAAUAUGAUUUUUUUCUUGAAUUGGAUGUUUUGUUGCGUUCAAGAUUUGGAAAAUAUACGAGUAUUUAUCUGUUGUUAGAAAGAUGUCCUUUUGGUGUUUAACCAAGACCGUUAUUUAUUCAUUUACAUUAGUUAUUUUAUUGUUGUUUAUUCUUAUUCUCUUAAUUCCUUGCUCCAACUAAUUGGCGUCUGUUCGCUUCUUAGAUUUUCUCUCUAUGAAUGGUAUGAGCCGUAAGGUUGGGAAGGGCCUACCCCUUUUAGUGAUUAAAAUUACUUACAUGUCUAGGAAUUGGAAUGUGUCGAAUGCAUGAAAUCCUUUUAGUAAAAAUUCUCCAUAACCUCGGGCCCUUCUUUCUCACAAUCACCAAAUUGAGAAUUACACAAUUCAUAAACAUCGUAGUUUGCUUUAGGCGCGACUUAAUUUAUCAUCGGGAUUGUGUACACGUUCGCGUGACAUAAUUACGAUUUUAAAACAAAACCAGAGUAUGCAUCCGCGUAACUUCGGCCAAACUUUCUUAAUAAUGAUAAAGCAUUAUUAAUUGUGGACACGUUCGCGUGACAUGAUUUUUGGCGCGCCAAACAAAUGAGUACACGUACACGUGACUCGUUUUAAGAUAAUUCCAUAAUUACGAAUAAUCAAGCAAUUAAAAGCGGUAAAAAGGUAAAUGCACAUAGGUUCUAAAAUAUGUAAUUAAACAAUUUAAUUGAGCCAAGUAUGAUUAAAGCGACCAUGCUAAAACCACGGAACCCGGGAAUGCCUAACACCUUCUCUCGGGUUAAUAGAAUUUCUUACCCGGAUGUUUGUGUUCGCAGACCAUAAAUAGAGUCAAAACUUUCCUCGAUUCGGAAUUUUAAACCGGUGACUUGGGACACCAUAAAUUAUCCCAAGUGGCGACUCUAAAUUUAAUAUAGAUAAUCCCGUUUUGAUUGUCAGUUAAAUUGAAAAAACUCCCUUAUACCCCUUUCGGGGUAGAAAAAGGAGGUGUGAUAUCAAAGACGUGUUUUCCUAUUCCUAUGAUGAUAUGCCAGGACUGAGUGUUGAUUUAGUGGUGCACAAAUUGCCAACUUACCCCGAUUAUCCCCCUGUCCAACAAAAAUCGAGAAAGUUUAAAAUAGACAACGGUGACUAGAUCAAAGAAGAAGUCACCAAAUAGUUGAAAGCGUGUGUGAUCCGGGUGGUCCGAUACACCACAUGGUUGGUUAAUGUAGUCCCAGUGCCAAAGAAAGAUUGAAAAACCCGAGUGUAUGUUGAUUAUCAGGAUUUGAACAAAGCAAGACCUAAGGACAACUUUCCAUUACCAAAUAUCCACAUCCUUAUUGACAACUAUGCCAAACAUGAGAUACAGUCUUUCGUGGAUUGUUACACUAGGUAUCAUCAGGUCCUGAUGGAAUAAUGAAGACGCAGAAAAGACGACUUUCACCAUACCUUGGGUUAUUUACUGUUACAGGGUCAUGCCGUUUGGUUUAAAGAAUGCUGGGGGAACUUACAUGAGAGCUAUGACUGCCAUCUUUCUUGACAUGAUGCACCAGGAAAUUGAGGUGUAUGUGGAUGAUGUGAUCAUUAAAUCCAGAAUGCAGGAUGACCAUGUGCGAGAUUUGAGAUAGUUCCUUGAGCGCCUGCGUAAGUAUGAUGUGAAGUUAAAUCCAGCUAAGUGUGCAUUUGGAGUACCAUCUAGGAAACUUUUGGGUAUAUAGUCAGUGUAUUCGGAAUUUGCCCCCUCCGAGAACCAAUAAAGAGGUUAUGAGUCUACUGGGAAGGUCGAAUUACAUUAGUAGGUUCAUUGCUCUGUUGACUUCCACGUGUGAGCCCAUAUUUAUGUUAUUGAAGAAAGAUGCAGCGAUUAGAUGGAUAGAUGAAUGUCAAGAAGCUUUCGACAAAAUCAAAGAAUAUCUGUCGAAUCCGCUAGUGUCGGUCCCACCCAAACUUGGAAGGCUUUUGUUCUUGUACUUGACAGUGUUGGAGAAUUCUUUUGGAUGUGUUCUCGGGCAACAUGAUGUGACCGAGAAGAAAGAACAAGUCAUAUACUAUUUGAGCAAGAAGUUCACUAGUUAUGAAGCCAAGUACGCUUUGUUGGAACGAACUUGCCGCGCUUUAACUUGGGCCGCUCAGAAGCUUAGACAUUACUUGUUGGCUUAUACCACCUAUCUCAUAACCAGGCUGGACCCCUUGAAGUACAUAUUCCAAAAGUCGAUGCCCAUAGGGAGGUUAUCAAAAUGGCAAAUCCUGCUCACCGAGUUUGACAUAGUCUAUGUCACCCACACGGCGAUGAAAGCUCAAGCCUUGGCGGAUCACUUAGUUGAGAAUCCUGUUGAUGAUGAAUACCAACCCUUGAUUACUUAUGAUCACGCUCAACUAUGUCUAUUAAAAGACUAAGCGGGUGUUGCAAAUAUAAUUCAGGGUAUUAUGCCCCGAGUCGAAUCCCACAGGGAAUUAACGUAUCAAGAGAAGCCUUUAAAGUACUAAAUUCUUAUAAGUCAACCUUCUCAAACUUUGUAAAUAACAAGUGGUGUUAUGGUCACUACUCCAACUAACAGAAUCGAUAAAAUGAAGAUUAACUACUACACAGUUGUAGACAAUUGGAAUAAAGGUCUAAGGUAAUGGUUUUCCCCGUUAUUGAAUUCCUUAGUCGUAUGUUUCUUAAAGUUAUGAAUUAGUUGUCUUUGUCGAUCAUGAACUCUCCAGUUAUCAUAACUCUCUCUCAAGCAAUUAUGAUAAUUUACUAGACGCACUCUCUCAAGCUACACUAGCUAGAUUCGCAUUACAGUUCACUUAGAUUGCACCCGAGGUAUCGUUAUCUCUACUCCAACCUCUAAACCCUCGGUUAUGACUCUCGCCUAUACUCCGGGAGUGAUGUUGUUCAAACAAUAACCUAAAUAUGGACUCUCUCUCAAGAAGAUACAUAAUAAAUAGGAACGGCUAAUGGAGGAUCCUUUCAACUAACCAAAAUCAAAACGUAGUUGAACAAAUAGAGAUUAACAACCAAUUCAAACUAUAUUAAUAUAACAACAAGUUCAUCCACAAUGGGUUCACCCAAAACCUUAGAUUAAAAGAGUUAGCUACUCAUAACAAUGAUGUUCAUCACAAUAAUUAAAUUCAUUACAAAUCAUAAAAACAAAAGGAAGAAGAGAAGAACUUGAUGUAGAAUACUCCUCCUUGACUUUCCUUUUCUUGCUCUCAGCUAUCAAAAGUUGCACACACACUCCUUGGGCGAGCUUGACCUUCUAUAUAUUAAGUGAAUUUUCCCCCCAGACUUCCAAAUUUACCCCCAGGAAUUAUUUUCCGGAACUGGGCUAGCGCGGCCGCGCUAGUGGGCGCGCUAAUGGCCGUGCUAGUAGCCUUACCAUUCUGCCUCGACCAUCUGGGCUAGCACGGUCGCGCUAGUGGAUGCGCUAAUGGCCACGCUAGUCCAGGCCUUCAUUUGGUUGAUUCUUUUUCUCGUCGUCUCACUUACUCAGCUCCUAGGGGUCUUUCUUGCUUCAAUGCAGCUCCAAUCACAUUUUUAAGGCCUUAUAUAAGCUCCUCAUUCCUACAACACAAUUUAGAGCUCAUUUUUCAUCAUUUGAUUAUAUUAGAGCAUUGAAACAUAAUCAAGCUGGGGCAAAACAAUCGUCAAAUGACAUAAAUCUAGCCUAAUAUCAACAGCCCACACUUAAAUCUUUGCUAGUCCUCGAGCAAUCCACCACCUUUUAUGAAGGUUCCUUCACUAAGCAUUCUUCCCUAACGCAUCAUACCAUGAACAGAUCACAUGAGUUACACCUAGUAGUGAACAAUCUUAUCCUCAAAAGUUGACUCUCACGUGUCGUGCAAUAUUCAUACUUUCUCAAGCUACUCUACACAUAAGUCAAUAAGUGCCUUUCCUUCAUGAAUCACAUUCCCUCACCUUCACACAAAGAGAGUAGUUCCACAUAUAAUGAUAUUUAGAACAAUUAGGAACUUAGAUAGAUGAACUUCACUCACUCUCAGAAAUUACAUUCACAUGUCACAAAGAUGCACCAUAAGCUUGCUCGUAGUGUACUACUCUACUAAUUGAGCCACUCAGUCUAAGAUCAAUAGGACUUCACUUGGUUGUAAUGUAGGCUAAGGGACUGAUAGGAUAUAUUUGGUGUAGUGACUAACCUCCCUAAGCACUUUUUAAUACAAUUACAUUAACAUUCAAAACCAUACUUCUGUCAACCAAACAUUUCACCACCGUUCUUUUAUUUACCACAACCCCAUCCAUUAGGUGCAAUUAUAGAAAACCACCACUUCUCAACCACUGUAUUAUUCUCCUUUUUUAAUGGUGGUGCUUCAUUUCUUAUGCGACAAAAUUCUACACCUUUUUUCGAUUUCUGUGGUUCCACUCAAAAACCAACCCCACCCCACACCUUUGCCUUUGCAUAAUUCUCAAUACCAUUCAAGUGCUUAUGUGAGGAAAGAGGGUUCAAAUAGAAGGCUAUUCAAAUAAUUGGGUAAGGUUUGCAAUGUGUUUGCCAAAGAAAUAGGCUUAUAGGCUCAACGGGGUUAACUAAGAUGUAUUGCAGUUAGGUGGGUUUACUUUAUAAGUCUGGCUCAACAAGGAAUUGCCUAUAUCACUUCUAAGACUGAAUGAAACUACUAUUUCGCUUUGCAAACACACAGGGCAAGUUCUAGGCAUCAAAUGUGAAUCAUGGAAUACAGUAAAACUCACACAUAUGGCAUAUGACUCAUUCAAGAUUGGCUUAUCAAGACACUCUCUUCUGAGUAUUCAAGUCAGUGACGAAUAUACAAUUUAAGGCACUUUAGCAAGAAUCAACUACUGAGAAUAAGCGUUACACUCUAGUGUCUAUUGUGUUCAGGUGUAAUAAUGCUAGAGGCUUUUCUUUUCGAAUUCAGCUCAUUAUUCCAUUAAUCCUAAUUUAAAAACUAAAAAGAAAACAAAAUGAUUACAAAACUACCUAUACCCGGUUCAAGUUAAACCCUUGGAAAAGAACCGUGGCCCAAAGAAAAACCAAGGGGGAGUUACUACACUACCUAAAAAAAUCUUUUUGUAAUUUUAAAUUGUUUUUCUUACAUACUAGCUUCCCUCAAGAAAAUUAUCUAAAGGAUCCAUCAUCAGGAAGAGUCUUUAUUUUCAUUUUUUUUAUGCUCGACUUAGUCCAAGAUACUUACCUAUUUUAAACUAAUCAACUCCUACUUAAUCAUCAAAGCAAUCAAAGCUAAACCACCAAAACAAUCAAAACAAAACAAAACCAACUAGUCAAAGGUUACAAUUACAUAUAUACAAUGAAGUAUCCCUACCCCACACUUAUAAUUAAGACAUGUCCCCAUGGCUUUAAAAAAUUAAAGAGUAGUGAGGUAGAGGUACUUCCCUGAUGGCUCACUCCUGGUCGGAGACGGUGUCUAGGUUCACAUUGCACGCGCGACCCAGAGCUCUCAACCAGCCCAAGAACUUCUUUUCAGACUUUACCUGUCUGUCAGCCACGGCCUCAACACGGGUACCUAAAUCUGUGACUGAAGUACGUAACCCAACCAUCUCUUGUUUCAAAUUGUUCAUACGGGUGCUCCGGGGACUAGGGUUCAGUCCUUACAUUCUCCUCUUCUUCAUCUUUAUCGCCUGAGUCGUCAGAGCUACCACUACUCUCUUCCUCUGCUGCUGCUGGCUCCUUUCCCAUGGUUACUUUGUCCGCUCGAAACUUGCGGUCCUUUUUCACAAGCCCAUCCGCAGCUAGAUUUUUGGGCACUCGAGCAUACCUGUAGUGAGAGUGAGGAGUAGAUAAGAGGGUUAAAGGGGAAUGUUGUUGGAGACGAAGAUGAAAAUUUUCUGGAAGAAGGGAGUAGAAGAAGAAAAGAAUUUGAGUUGUGAGAGAUUGGGGAGGGUUUUGUGAAUUGUUUUAGGGCGUGUGUUUUGGUGUGGGGGGGGGGGGUUGUUAGAUGUGGGUUAUUAGAUGAGGGGGGAAUUUGGAUUAAAGAAAGAGAAAAAAAAUAAUUGAAUGAUACAAAAAAAUAAGAACAAGUGUUACGUUUUAAAAAAAUGUCCCUGAGUAGCGCGUUCAGAUGCGCGAGAGCGCUAGUCUAGUGCGUCCAAGGUAGAAAGUUUUGGCAAUUUAGUGCGAUCGCGCUAGUAGCGCGGCCGUGCUGGGAGGCUUCAAUUUUAUUUUAUUUUUUACACUUUUCACCUGAUUUUUCCAUUUUUCGAUUGCCUUAUCACCCGCCCAUUGUCACCUGCAUUGGUUAGCAUUUUAAAAAACUCACAAUUAACCACUACUACUACUACUGUCGGGUUGCCUCCCGACCAGCUCCUAAGUUAACGUCGUGGAACGACACAAACAACGUUACCACUUUUCUCGCCACUUGGAUGAUAUGAACUGGGCACCUAGCUUGGAAUCAAGCUUGUGACCACGAGCGAUGGGGGGUGGUAAGUCGAUGAUCAAGUCAAUCCUUAAGUUCUUCAUUUUGUACUUCUUGGCUCUCAUGUGAGGAAUGUCAUUUUGCUUUCUUGCUUCCUCCAACUGUAAAAUUUAUGAUUGUUGCCUUUCCUCCUCGCAAUCCCUCAUUGACCCGUGCAGUUCAAUUUUCAUAUCACCACACAAUUCCAAUGUUGAAAAAUGCUUGGAAUGUGACUUCAAACCAUCAUUUUGCAAUUUUCCUCGGAUUUUGACAACCUCUUUUUUUCCCGGAUUAGAGUCAAUUUCAACCACAUUUUCAUUUACACAGGUUGACUCUAAUUCCAUAUUUUUCUUGGCAUUAUUAACACUCAUGGGGUCGGUUAGCGGAUGUUCAAUUCUUGAAUCCUCAAAGUAAAGCUCACUUUCUUCCUCGGAAUUGGGCUUUUCUUGGCUUCCUUCCACACUCUCAAGUUGGUGGGAAUAGUGAGCCUCAACCAAUAUUUGCAUUUGAUCCUCCAAAGUGCGGAUAUGCUCAUCAUUGUGAGACAAACCUUGUUUCUAGUCCUCGAGUGCAAAGUUGUGCUUCUCCUUAUUUUUAAGAAUGGUCUCCAACAUGAGCAUCAUCUUCUCAUUUUGAGCAAUUGCGAGUUUUUCUUGGUUUUGUUCAAGUGCCAAGGGAGGAUUUUCGGCUUCCACAUCUAAGGAAAAUUCUUGGCUAUCAUUAACUUCCGAGGAUUUUUGGACCUCUAAAGCUUCAAGCAUUUUCUCCAUUUGCACAUUUAACCUUUCUAGUGUCAAGCCAUUUUGGAGACUAUUCUCCAAAAGCUCCUCCAAGGCAUGUUGUUCUUUGUUUCCUCCUUCAAGUAGGCAUUCUAACAUGAGCUUGAACUCUCCAUUUCGGCCAUGCUCAACUUCUUAUACUUCCAUAGCCCUAUAAUUUUCAUCACAAAAAGUAGAAUCAUCAUAGCGGGGGCUUCGGGAAGGGAAGGACAAAUAAGCACAAUCAUCCCAAUGACCAUUUUGAAAAUCACACUUAUCACAAAUACUCCACUCAUGGGUUUGAGAUUGUACGCACAAUCCACCCCCGGGAGAAUUUAAACAAUUUUUCCAUGAGUGUGGUCCUCCACAAUAAGGACAAGGGUCAUCAAAGUAAAAAUAACUACAAUCCGACCAAUUUUCAUUAUAUGAUGCCAUUUUUCAAAACUAAGAAAAUAAACAAGAAAUAAACAAUAAAAAUAGACCAAGGUAUAGAGAGAACUAACUACACUAAGAAUUUUGGUACUUCUUUCAAUCGUAACUGAUAAUACCGUUAAUUCCCCGGCAACGGCACCAAAAUUGGAUCACGCUCAACUGUGUCUACUAAAAGACUAAGCGGGCGUUGCAAAUAUAAUCCGGGGUAUUAUGCCCCGAGUCGAAUCUCACAGGGAAUUAACGUAUCAAGAGAAGCCUUUAAAGUACUAAAUUCUUAUGAGUCCACCUUCUCAAACUUUGUAAAUAACAAGUGGUGUUAUGGUCACUACUCCAACUAAUAGAAUCGAUAAAAUGAAGAUUAACUACUACGCAGUUGUAGACAAUUAGAAUAAAGGUCUAAGGUAAUGGUUUUCCCCGUUGUUGAAUUCCUUAGUCGUAUGUUUCUUAUAGUUAUGAAUAAGUUGUCUCUGUCGAUCAUGAACUCUCCAGCUAUCAUAACUCUCUCUCAAGCAAUUAUGAUAAUUUACUAGACGCACUCUCUCAAGCUACACUAGCUAGAUUCGCAUUACAGUUCACUUAGAUCGCACCUGAGGUAUCGUUAUCUCUACUCCAACCUCUAAGCCCUCGGUUAUGAAUCUCGCCUAUACUCCGGAAGUGAUGUUGUUCAAACAAUUACCUAAAUAUGCACGCUCUCUCAAGAAGAUACAUAAUAAAUAGGAACGGCUAAUUGAGGAUCCUUUCAACUAACCAAAAUCAAAACGUAGUUGAACAAAUAGAGAUUAACAACCAAUUCAAACUAUAUUAAUAUAACAACAAGUUCAUCCACAAUGGGUUCACCCAAAACCUUAGAUUAAAAGAGUUAGCUACUCAUAACAAUGAUGUUCAUCACAAUAAUUAAAUUCAUUACAAAUCAUAAAAACAAAAGGAAGAAGAGAAGAACUUGAUGUAGAAUACUCCUCCUUGCCUCUUGCCUUUCCUUUUCUUGCUCUCAGCUAUCAAAAGCUGCACACACACUCCUUGGGCGAACUUGACCUUCUAUAGGUUAACUGAAUUUGCCCCCAGACUUCCAAAUUUACCCCCAGGAAUUAUUUUCCGGAACUGGGAUAGCGCGACCGCACUAGUGGGCGCGCUAAUGGCCGCGCUAGUAGCCUUACCAUUCUGCCUCGACCAUCUGGGCUAGCACGGUCGCGCUAAUGGCCGCGCUAGUCCAGGCCUUCAUUUGGUCGAUUCUUUUUCUUGUCGUCUCGCUUAUUCAACUCCUAGGGGUCUUUCUUGCUUCAAUGUAGCUCCAAUCACAUCUUUAAGGCCUUAUAUAAGCUCCUCAUUCCUGCAACACAAUUUAGAGCUCAUUUUUCAUCAUUUGAUUAUAUUAGAGCAUUGAAAUAUAAUCAAGUUGGGGCAAAACAAUCGUCAAUGACAUAAAUCUAGCCUAAUAUCAACUUACUUUCCGAAUGAGGAGGUAAAUUCAGUUGAGGUAAUUCCAGAAGACACGAAUGCUUGGAAAAUCUUCUUCGACGGAGCUGUGAAUACAAAAGGUGUUGGGAUUGGGGAAAUUUUGAUUUUGCCCACUGGUCAACAUUAUCCGGCCACAGCCCGGUUUCGGUUUUUCUGUACGAACAACACUUCCGAGUAUGAGGCUUGCAUUAUGGGCAUAAACAUUGUAGUUGAUCAGGAUGUGGAAGAAUUGUUAAUCAUGGGAUAUUCUGACUUGAUUAUUAGACAAGCUCAAGGUGAGUGGGAAACUCGAGAUAUCAAGCUUAUCCCAUACAGACAACAUGUGGAAUAUCUUAGCAAGCGGUUCAAAUUCGUCGAGUUCAGGUACAUUCCUCGGUUUCACAAUGAGUUAGCCAAUGCACUAGCUACUUUGGCCUAGAUGUUGCCGUAUCCAGGCAAUGUCCACAUUAACCCACUGAAAAACCAAAUUCGAGAAAGACAUGGUUACUGCAAUAUAGUUCAAAUGGAACCGGAUAUUCAGCCAUGGUACCAUGAUAUCAAAAGAUUUUUAAAAACAGAGGAAUAUCUCGAACAAGCCAGCGGAGAUCAAAAGAGAACCAUUAGAAGGCUUGCUAGCACUUUCUUCUUAAGCGGAGAGGUCUUGUACAAAAUAACUCCAGAUUUGAACCUUUUAAGAUGCGUGGAUGCCCAAGAGGCUGGAAAAAUCAUGAAUGAGGUGCAUGGGGGAGUAUGUGGACCCCAUAUGAACGGAUACGUCUUUGCAAAGAAAAUCCUUCAAGCAAGUUAUUACUGGAUGACCAUGGAAAAGGAUUACUUCAGUUUUGUCCGAAAGUGUCAUCAGUGUCAGGUACACGGUGACCUGAUUCAGGCACAGCCUUCAGAAUUGCAUCCUAUGUUGGCGCCAUGGCCGUUUGUUGCUUGGGGUAUGGAUGUCAUUGGGCCAAUCGAACCAAAAGCUUCAAAUGGGCACAGAUUCAUUUUAGUUGCCAUUGACUAUUUCACAAAAUGGGUUGAAGCAGUCACUCUUAAAUCCGUCACCAAGAAAGCGGUGGUGGACUUUGUGCAUUCCAACAUUAUCUGUCGCUUUGGUAUUCCUACGAGUAUCAUUACCGGAAAUGAUGCAAAUUUGAAUAGUCAUUUGAUGAGGGAGGUAUGCGAAUAAUUUAAGAUCACACAUCGGAAUUGUACCCCUUAUUGGCCCAAAGCUAAUGGUGAUGUUGGAGUAGCAAAAAAAAAUAUCAAGAAGGUCCUCAGGAAAAUGAUUCAGAGUUCUAGACAAUGACAUGAAAAGUUGUCUUUUGCAUUGUUGGGGUAUCGCACAACCGUGUGCACAUCAGUUGGAGCAAAACCCUAUCUAUUGGUUUAUGGCAUUGAAGCUGUAAUACCUGCAGAAGUUGAGAUUCCCUCUCUUCGAAUCAUCGUUGAAGUUGAGAUUGAGGACAAUGAAUGGGUCAAGACUCGUCUAGAACAGUUAACCCUGAUUGAUGAAAAGCGGAUGGCCGCGGUUUGCCACGAGCAGUUGUAUCAACAAAGAAUGGCUCGUGCCUACAACAAGAAAUUGCGGCCUAGGAACUUUGAAGUGGGGCACCUCGUCUUGAGAUGUAUUCUCCCGCGUCAUAAGGAAGAAAAAGGAAAAUUCGCUCAAAAUUGGAAGGGUCCGUACAUUAUAAGAAAAUUGUUGCCAAAAGGGGCAUUGUACUUGGGAGAUAUUGAAGGAAAUGACCCCGAAAUAGCUGUCAAUGCAGACGCGGUCAAAAGGUAUUACAUUUAACCCUUCUACAGUACUGAUAUUCUCUGAUUGGGAUGACAAAGGCUUUCAUUCUCGCUACCCAAACACUGUUAACCCUUUGCAAACCCUUUGAGCCAAUUACCUUUCUUUGAUUACCCUCUUUGGAACCCAAAAAUGUUGUUAACAAAAUGAAAAGAAAAAAAACAAAACAACAAAAACAAAAACAAAAAAAAAUCAAAAACAAAGUUCUCUGAACUACGUUCGACUUGAUUCCGAAAGGAUACGUAGGCAGCCUCUUUCUGGGGUUCAGUCAUACCAAAACAAAAAUCCACAUUGUCCCAAAGUUGAAACUGGGGCAGAAGUCAUAAUGGUUCCGUGAUAGUUCGCCUGAAAGGUUCCAAAGUUGUAAUUCAAUCCAAACUCUUUUUACCCCCAAAUCAUGUUCAAGCCCUUCCGAUCAAUCGAUAAAGAUGUUCAAAAUUGGAGGAUGUGUUUACUUGGGUUUGAUACAAUUAAAUGAGAGAAAUAAAAUGAGAGAGUCUUAUUGGUGAAAAUCCACAAGAGCACCAUAGGGCGAUGGUAAGCAGAGAAAUUGAAAAUGAGAGAGUCUUGUUAGUGAAAACUCGCAAAGAGCACUAUAAGACGACGGUGAGAAGAGAAAUGAGAGAGGUUAGUUGGUGAAAGCCCGCAAAGGGCUCCACUGAUUGAAAAAAGGGAUGCCUUACAACCAUCAGUACUGAUAGAGUCCUGGCAAGGUUUCUCGGUUUUGAUGUAUUGGUUAUGAUGGGUUUAUGAGAGUUGGAUGGUUUGCACAAAUUGACUAUUUGGUCCAAGAAGCAUGUCAUGUCUAUUGAAGUUUGCAUGCACUCCAGAUAAGUCCUUCUUUCCUUUCCCCGAAAAGGACACUUCUUAUUUAAAUUCAUUAUCAUGUACGUUGUUUACUUUUCUUUGAAUCCCUUUCGCUCUAAUUCUCCUCCGAAACUAAUACAAAGAAAAGAUGGCAAGAUUGAUUUUACAGGAUUUUGUUUGACAAAAAGCUAAAAUUCAAGAAAAGCACCCAGCCUCAGCAGGUGCAUCAAGUCGACCUCGACUAGCCAUGAUGGCCGAUGCUCCAGAGUCAAAAACUCUUGAAAAAAAAAGAAAUCAAAGUCAAGUUCCCAUAAAGGCAAAAUAAGAUGAAAAAGGCCAAGCCCCACACGGGUUAGUCAUCAUGUGAAAUUUGGGAAAGGUCAAGAUUCCCGGGUGUAAAAAUGAAAACAAUUUCCAGAAAGCCAGCGAGCAAUGGAGACUUUAUUGAAAGAGCUGGGGCCAAAAUCAAGUGAUUGAAACAAUCAAGGCCACAAAACCAACCACCAUUUCAAACUGACAAAUUGUUCUUUGAUUUGAAAAUAGGAAAAAUAGGUAUAAUCCAAAACAACUCCGCAAGGAGCAGGUGCGAUAAAAGCAAAGUAAGCAAAGACCAAAACGGUUCUGCAGCAAAAGUUAACCCAAAAAGGGAAGUCCCCUCCAAACUCUUUAUAAAUAAAAUAAAAAAAGAAAAAAUGAUGAAAUCAAAAGAAAAGAAAGAAGAAAAUUCAAAAUCAUGGUAGUAUAGAGUCUCUAAUCCCUAACUGCGUCUUUCUGAACAUAGGGUCCCACUCCCUAGUUGAUUCUGGCAUAACACGAUGACUCUUCCGGCAUAACCCGAUGACUCUUCCGGCAUAACCCGAUGACUUUUCUAGCAUAACCCGAUGACUUUUCCGGCAUAACCCGAUAAUUUUUCCUGCAUAGCCCGAUGACUUUUCCGGCAUAACCCGAUCACUCUUCCGGCAUAACCCAGUGACUUUUUCGGCAUAACCUGAUGACUCUUCUGGCAUAACCCAAUGACUCUUCCGGCAUAACCCAAUGAUUUUUCCAACAAAGGGUUCCACUCCCUAGCUGAUGCCAGCAUAACCUGGUAAUUUUUUCCACUAUAGGGUCCCACUCCUUAGCUGAUGCCGGCAUAACCUGGUAAUCUUUUCCAACAUAGGGUCCCACUCCCUAGCUGAUGCCAGGAUAACCUGGUAAUCUUUUCCAUCAUAGGGUCACAUUCCUUAGUUGAUGCUAGCAUAACUUGGUAAUCUUUCCAACUUAGGGCCUCCAAUCCUAGUUGAUUUCAUUUUAGAUAUAAGGGUCCCCACUCCCUAAUCUCUUUUUUCUCAAGGAUACACAAUCCUGAUUUUAUUGCUUUCAAUAAAGAAGUAGUUUAGAUUUUUGUUACAAUAACUCACGAAAUUUUUCUAGUGAAAACUAGGGCAGAAAAAUUUCGCUUGUUUGUUUGUUUUGGUGCCUAAACAGGUUUUUACCGUAAGGAACGAGGUUUGAGAUGACCAAAAGAAGAAGUCCCAAUCCAAAUAAAAGAAAAGAAGAACAAGAAAAGAAGUGAAUUCUAAGUGUAGAAGCGGAGAAAAGAUGUGGACUGCUCAAGAUGUGAUUGAAGUCACAAGCUUUGCAUAUCCCUCCUUGAUCUGAAAAGCUAAAGAAAAGUGAACCAGCGUUCGCAGCUAACGAGCAUCAAGAUUCAGAUCAGAGUCAGGAAGAACCAGCCAAGACUCAAGAUCAAGCUUCAGAAGGUUCAUAAAUAGGAAUCCUGUAACUCGUAGUUGAUAGGCUUAGUUUUUCAUUUUUCAUUUUGGUGUAAUAAGGAGCUCAGCAAGCAGAAACAGCAGCAACAGCUGUGAAAUCACAGUUUCUCGGUAGUCCCACCUACCGAAACUUCUAGAAAUACGCUGACCUGACUCUUUUAUAGCCAAGGAUAUGUAAGCAACCUCCGAAGAAUGGUUUGAUCAGAUUUUUUCCAAAAAAUAUUUCCCAGGGAGUAUCCAAACAGGCAAAAAUCGCUCAUAAUUGCUCACUUUAUCUUUGCCCAAAAACUCUUCAUGUUUCCGAGCAAAGAGGGGCAACUAUGAGCAUGUAAUUUUUUUCCAACUAAAAGAUACUCCUACAAAAUUAAAGAGAUAGAUUUUUUUCAAACUGUUUUUCAAUUUUAUAGGAUUUUUGUAAUAUUUUUACUAAUUGUUUGCAUAUUGUGCACAUUUAAUUUUGUUAAAAUCGUGAAAAAUACCCCAAAAAUGUCAAAAAUUUCAUGUAUUACAUAUUAGGUUUUUUGUUCAUAUUUUAGGAUUAAUUGGUUAUUAAUUGCUUUAUUAAAAUGAAAAAUCACAAAAAGAUAUUGUUCAUUUUACAUUUUUUAGCUCUCAAUAUUAAAUUAGUAAUUUCUCUUCAUCAAUUUAGGAUUAGUUAAUUUUGUAAAAAUUUAUAAAUAGAUAAUUAGUUUGAUUUUACAGAUUAGAUUAAUUUAGGACUUUCAUUAAUUAAAGAAAAGAAAAAGAAAAAAUAAAGAGAGGGAAAUAGGAAGAAUAUUUGGUCUUGCUCUUAAAUUUGGCCAAUUCCUAAAUGGUCCAAUUAAUUUUAAGUGUCUAGCCCAAAAUUCGCCCUAAAUUUAACCCCCAAACCCGGUCCAAAUCCGAUCUAACCCACUAAUAAAUGAAGCGACGUUGUUUCAUGGUGCUUGAUCCCAGCCGUUGGAUCCCCUCGAUCUAACGGCUCGCAAGUUAACACCCACAAUCCUUAAAUAUGUCCGAACAGGCCCUCCCUCCCCCCUCCCCCCAAACCCCUAACACCCAGUUCAUUUCCUCUCUCAAACUCUCUCAAACGAGAAACUCUAGCCGCCCUUUUAACCCCCACCGUCUCCGCCGUAUUCCGCCUCCUGGAAAUCGCCCCACGGCGGCAGACCACCUCUAAACUAAACCAAAUUAAUACCAGACAAUCACCCUCUCCUCCUUUUUCCAUAUCUCAUAAUCAUUCCCUUCAAACAAGUCUAGAAAUUCUCAAAUCUUGGAUCUAGGAUAGAAACCCUAGUUUGCCAAAUUUGGUCAAUUUUUCUUUUGUUUCCUUCGAGUUUCAAGACUCGAUUUGGGUUUAAAACCUACGCUAAUUGAGCGUUAUCAACAAGAACGAUUGAUUAAAUUUUUGGACUCAUCUCGACGUUGUUCCAAUUUGCGAGAAUCUUGUUAAGUCAGAUAGGUACAUUUUCUUUCUUUCUUCUUUCUUUGCUUGAUAUUGUUCUUUAUUUCUCUCUUUUUUCUGGUGGUGCAUGUGUUUGGCUGCGUGUUUAGAUUAAUUAGUAUUUUUGAAAUCACUAUUAGGAUAAUUCUGAAAAUUGUUCGAAUAUGCUGAACUUCGUGAUUAAAGAAAAUAGCCUAAUUAUCUGUAAGAUAGCUUAAUUACAUAUUUUGUUUAACUCAGUCAAGUUUAGAUUAAUUAGGAUUAAUUAUUAGGUUUUAGUACAUUAUUAUUCUUGUUCUGCAUUUUUACUACUAUUUUUUUGUUGUUGUUGUUUGUUUGGAAUUCAAAUUUUUUUAUUUGUAGGUUUAAUUAGAUGAAAUGUCCUGUUCAAUUAUUGGUUUAGGUCUUAAUUUAGGAUUGCUUUAUCUAGGGCGCCUUAAUUCAGUUGUUUGAAUAUUUUAAAGAAUGAAGAUAGUAACAAAGUUUUUAGGGAUACUAUUAUAAACAAUGUUAGGAAUUUCAAAUGCUGGAAUCACCUAGAUGGUUCCAAAAGGUUCCCCAAGGGUUUUGAAAUAAGAAAUUAGGUCAAAUUGGUUUGAAAUUGCAAUAAGCUAAACUUAAAAGGGUAAAAUUGGUAUUGAUAAAUAAGAAAAAUAUCAGAAUGUUCUAGUAUGGGGCAGUUGUCCCCAUUUUUAGCAAUGCUAAAAUUGGGUGGGAAAAAUGACAGACAGCUGUUAAAAGAUGUUGUGCUAUCUGACAUUUCAAAAUUCUAGGGUAGAAUAUUCUCUUUUUAUGCUAUCUUUGUGCAUUCUAUAUAAAGAAUAGGCCAUCACUCACUCAUAGAGAGAUUAUCAUCAGCAUAUGCAUUCUAAAAGCCUCUUUGAAUACAAGGAAUUCUUAAAAAAGCACCUCCAUUUUCCUACUGAUUUCUUUCAUGUUUCUGGGUCUCAAAGGUAUAUUUAGAAGUAGAAAAUAGUUCUUUGUGGGGAUGUUUUGCUAUUUCUAUUAUUAAGAAGAUCGUUUAGCUCAACUUACCUUGGUCUUGUUGCCGUUGGUUGCUUCUGCUGCUGUUCUACUAUUUAUAGUUUUCUUUACUUCUUCUCCAAAGCAAGAGAUUUGUUUUCUAUUUGUCUAUCUUGCUGUAAUCAGGUAUUCACCUUAAAUCUGAGUUUAUUUUGACAUGAAUCAGUUGGUUUCUUUAUUUGUUCCAUGAAAAAUUCUGGUUUUUCAUCAUCAUUCUCUUAUGCUUAUUGUGUAAACUGGCAGCUCUUGACUUAAUUAAAUUCAUGUGUGUUUCUUCUGUUUAUUUGGUUUUGAAAUAAAGAAAAUUAGAAUACUUUUGCUCUACUAUUUGGUCACCUGAAUUAGUGUGGUUAUCUUGAGAGUUGUCGAACUAUCUCAUGUCAUCUUGAUUAUGUUGUGAUUUGGGUAUGUUUUCAAAGUUAAUAUUUCAUGUAUAAACUAGCUCAUUGUAAGUUGGAAAGUGACCAAGAUCGUUUAAUUCUAAAUGUUAAUAUAGAUAGCUAUUAGCAACACUUGGAGUAAGUGAUUUCAACUGUUAAAUUUUGUAUAGUUUCAGCACUAUUUGAACCUUGCAGAAUCAGUAUUAAUUCAAAAAGGUUUUACUAUAGAGUGAUUUUGUUAAAGUAUAUGGAUUUUUGUUGAGUCUGAGAAGGCUUAGUGAUGGCUACAUGGCUGUGGCUUGCUAAUCUGACCACCAGUUGGAUCAGAUUAGUGAAUAUAAGUAUAAAAGCUGGAUUUGGAGUCAUCUAUGGAAGGGAUUUAAACACAAGAUUGGUUAUGUCCUUUUCAGUUUAAUUAGCCUUAUGAACAAUCCAUAUAAAUAUUUAAGGAUUCAUGUCUGUUAUCCCUUUUGAUGAUUGUAUUAUGAUUCGCGAGAUUUGUAAAUGUUAGAAAUGUAAUUAAUUUGUCUUGCCUUAGAUCAGUAUAAAUAGUUCAGUUGUUCAUCUUCUUUGUUUCGACAUUUUUUUUCUUUAAGUCUGGAAAUUUGAAUGGAUUAAGGCAGAUUUUUCCUUAGUACUGCAUUGUUCUGAUUAGGACUUAACGCAUUGGGCUUCACUGCAAGCCCACUUGCAGUCGCGUUUUAGACCCUUUGGAGGUCAAUUGCUACUAUGUUACAGUGGUGUUAUCAUGAGAUAAAUUCUCAUUUAAAAUAAAUAUUUGAAAGCAACCUGUUUCUUAAUUUAAUUCAAUUGAUUUUUUGAAGUGUUUAAUAUUCUAACAGUCCAUAUAAGUUAGCUUCGAGAUUCACCUUGUUUAAUGUAUUCCUAUCUCCAGAAUAACUCUAUAGCUAUAGAUCUCCUUAUGCUUAGUCUCAAACCUUAGAAAAAUAAUCAAUUUAUGAACAUCCGUAGUUUGCUUUAGGCGCGUUUAUUAUAAAUCAUCGUGACUAUGGGUACGAUUCCCGUGGCAUAGUCGUGAUACAUAAUUCCUAAAGUCGGGGGUGCAUUUCAUAUGACCCGAUCCUAACAAGUUCGAAUAAUAAUAAAAUAAACAUAUCGUCAAUCGCGGGUGCAUUUCAUGUAGCGUGGUUUGCGGUGUGUUCCAAAACGGCAAGUGUACGACAAUCGUAACUUGUUCAAGAAACAAUUCCAUAAAUCCUAAAAAGAGCGUUUAAAAUAAUUAAAAGCGGUUAUAUGGUUAAAAUGCACAAUAGGUUUUAAAACAUGUAAUUAAUCAGAUAAUUAGGUCAAUUAUUAAUAGUUAAGCGACCGUGCUAGAACCACGGAACCCGAAAAUGCCUAACACCUUCUCCCGGGUUAACAUAAUUCCUUACCUAGUUUUUCUAGUUUCGCAGACUUUUAAAUAAAGUCAAAAUUUUCCUCGAUUUGGGAUUUAUAAUAAAUGGGUGACUUGGGACACCAAAUAAACUAUUUCAAGUGGCGACUCAGAAUAAAUAAAAUAAUCUCAUUUCGAUUAUGUCACUUUAAUUGGAAAAACUCCCUUAUAUCGCCUCGGGUAAAAAAGGAGGUGUGACAGCUGCAAGCCACCAACAAAGCUUUAGAGUCAGGAGGUAUUUCUAAGAAGAAGGAAGUGGGUGCUAUAAUGGUAGCCCAGGGCCUUAAGUCUCCUCUCACCUAUCAAACACAUCCACCCACAAACCAACCCUCACCUCCAAAAUAUCAAUACCCCGCCACCACCUACCAUACUAUAAUGCCCAACUUGCAUAUUACCAUUCACCUCCUGCCACCCGCCACAACUAUCCUAAACCAUGACCAAACUUUGAUCGUAGAGCUCCUAGACAAUACACCCUUAUCGCUGAACCCAUAGUCCAAUUGUAUGAAAGACUAAAGGUUGCUGGUUAUGUCACCCCCAUUCUCGCUGUUGUUGUUAAAAACCCUUCCCAGUGGUUAACUUGUGCCUACCAUUCAGGCAUGAAGGUGAGGAAUAUCGCAUGUUGAAGGACAAGAUCCAGACGAGGUUAAGUUGUAAACACUUUGUGUUUAAAUAAUUAUGGCUAUGUGUGUAACUCUUGUAAAAUAUUAUGGGGAAAUAAGUCAAGAUAUACCUUAGUUUCUGAAAUUAUAUAGAUCUUAGACUAAAGAGGAUGUUGAAAAUCUCGUUGGACAACAACUCUUAAAUUUGAAAGAGUCAAUUCCUUUUUGAAAGUUAGCCUUGCACUUCAUUUCUGGUUUUGAAAGGGGAACUUCCGGCUUCGUUAAGUAUUUUUCGGGGCUUCAAAAUCUUUAAGAAAGGGUUUGCAAAACACAGCGGACUAAUGGUGUGAACAACUUAUGAUUAGCGAAUGGAGGAUUAGAUACUAACUAAUAUUUCUUUUAAUCCUAUGUUCUUUAAGGCUUACCUAAGUUAUUUAUGUAAUUCAAAAGGUAAAUCAAAAUACUUAUUGAAUAUGGUGAGAGCAAUUUUAUAUACAUGUAAAGAAUAUAGAUAAGUGAAAUAUUAGUAAAAGUAGUAAAGGAUGAAGAAUGACUCUGGUUUGGGCCUGAAAGAGGUAGGCCCAAUAAUCAGCAGGAAGGGACAACAUUAGGCUCCAGACUUCAAAUGCAAUGAUGUUGGGCUUGGGCCUGAGUUCUUGGAGAACUUAUUAGGCCCAAUAGUUGUACAUGUUUAAAAUGAAAGCGAGAAAGUCAUUAGAAAACAAUGUUAUAUACAUUUAUCUAUACAUGAACUAUGUGAGCAACUGACUUAAACAAAACGUAGCAACUAACAAUACCUAAAAUAUUAUGAAGGGUCAUACCAAUGGGGUGGUUAUGCAUAUCAAAGGAUUUACACCGAAAAAUUUUCAUUGUCAUUAAACACUAAACCCAAAGGGAGUAAUGAAUAUCAAUGAAUUAAUGGCUAAGGGUAGAGUUCCACUCAAGGCCAAAGUCUCAUUUGAAUCCCCCGACACUUUAAAGUUUCCAAGGGAUUCAAGACCCAAGGCAAUGCUUGUGUCAAGGAGGGUAGUCCAACUAAAAGUUAAACUCUAGUCCUAAAUACCCCUAACCACUAAUAAUUUAUUCUUCCCCACAUGUUUAAGUGCCAACAAGGAACUUUCAAUGCAAACCGAUUAACAUAACAUUGACAUACCAUAGAAGUAUAUACCCCUUUUAAUAGAGCCCAACAGAAUACCGUGAGAAAAUAAGGUAGUUUAUUUACACCAUCAUAACCGUGUUUACAAACCAAGUAAAUGAUUAACACAAUAAAAGAUUAAAGGGUUGAGUUUUAGACACAUAUAGAAGCAUGGACAUUGUUAUGUGACCAUCAGAGAACCUAAGCAUCUGAGAUCAGAUAAUCUCGAAGGUAAAAAGAAAAGCAUACAGAUCAUCCUUUCAACAGUUAAUGAAUGCAAGUGUAUUUGCUUUUAUAGCCUCUUAAUUAGACCAUUGUGUAAACUCAGGUCUGGUUUUAUCAUAUACAAGUUAAUGAGAUUACUAGAAGCUUUGAAAAUAUCAACAAGGUUUCAAAUAAAUAGUCGUAUUCAGAAUUUCUACAGAUACUAUUAGAGAUGCCAAAAUACACCUAGAGUCUCAAUCAAGACUAUUGAUUCAUAAAUCUAGAUAGACCUCAUGCCACCAGAAGAUUAUAAGAUUAUAAAAUUAUAAAACAAACACAUAGAAGAUUUCAGGAUAAAUUGUUGCUACGGGCUCCAAAUAUGGAGCCUGGAACCCAUUUGGGAAUAUUUAAUUAUAAAAAUUAAAUAUUUAAUUUAUAAACUAACAUGUAAAAUAAUAAAACUAACGCAUAGAAAGAAUUGGUGCUACUGGGCUUCAAAUAUGGUUUGGAGCCUAGAACCCACAUGGAAAUAUUUAAUUAUAAAAAUUAAAUAUUUAAUUUACAAACUAACAUGUAAAAUAAUAAAACUAAUACAUAGAAUAAAUUGGUGCUACUGGACUCCAAAUAUGGAGCCUAGAACCCAUAUGGGAAUAUUUAAUUAAAUAAAUUAAAUAUUUAAUUUACAAACUAACAUGUAAAAUAAUAAAACUAACGCAUAGAAUAAAUUGGUGCUACUGGGCUCUAAAUAUGGAGCCUGGAACCCAUAUAUGAAUAUUUAAUUAUAAAAAUUAAAUAUUUAAUUUAUGAACUAAUAUGUAAAAUAAUAAAACAAACACAUAGAAUAAAUUGGUGCUACUGGGAUCCAAAUGUGGAGCCUGGAACCCAUAUGUGAAUAUUUAAUUAUAAAAAUUAAUUAUUUAAUUUGCAAACUAACAUAUAAAAUUAUAAUAAAACUAACACAUGGAAGAAUUUAGGAUAUCUUGGUGCUACUGGGCCUCAAGUAUCUGGCCUAGAACCCUUACGUAAAUACAUCAUAAUUAAAUAUUAUAUAAUUAUAAAAUUUAAUUAUUUAAUUUACAAAACAAAUAUUUAAAAUUAUAAAACUAACAUGUAAUUAAUGUUGUUUAAUUUACAGUAGACGACAUGGAUGUGUUGCCUAUUCAUCCGGGACCCUACAGCGAUGCGCUACUCUCGUUACAGGGCGAUCAUAGGUCCGCCCAUAUAUAGGAGGGUAAGUUACUAACCGAUACUCUCCGCGCCAGGAGAGUGGACGACAUGUGGGACUUUCUGCAUGACAGAGUUCUCCAUGAUCGGGUAGUCGCGCCUGCGGGACACGGGUUUCUACAGGAUGAUUGAGAUUGGGCGGCUGCAGCUCGAUUGGGCUUUGCUCACGGCCUUGAUAGAGCGGUGGUGACCAGAGACGCAUACAUUCCACCUGCCCAUUAGCGAGGCCACCAUCACACUGCAGGACGUGGAGGUGUUAUACGGGUUUCCCUUAGAUGGACUGCCCGUUUCUCUGCCGGAGGGCAUGAGAGAGAUGACACAUGUGCAGUACCUGGACUUGCUGUAGCGGCUCACAAGUUUCCGGUCAGAAUAUGAGACUGUGUUGCAUGGGACCAGUCGUUUUCCGUUGACAACUAUUCGACUAUGGUGGGAGGCAUUGCAUCCUCAGAUCGAUGGCGCUACACUAGAUGAUCAUGUUGACAGGCAUACGAGGUUGCUGCUACUCCUGUUGUUUGGAGGGGUCUUGUUCCUGAACACUUCGGGGAACCUAGUCAGCUUGAGAUUUCUUCAUCAUCUUGAGCGGCUAGAUGAUUUACCCCAGUACAGCUGGGGAUCUACUGUUCUCGCCUACUUAUACAGAUGCAUGUGCCGGGCGAGCAUGGGUACCCAGCAUGAGGUUGUUGGAUUCUUGCCGCUACUACAGGUGACAACCUAUUCGAAUACUCUAUUCAUUUUAACAUACCUAGUAAAAAUAUAUCUUAACUUUUACGUCAACCCUUUUAUGUUAGGUUUGGUCCUGGGAGCGGUUCUUGCAGUUGCAACCACCUCUACCACCAUUAGAUCCGGAGUUGCUCCCUCUAGCUAGGAGGUGGGUACGCCAGCGACGACAUACGCGCGAGUACGAGGCUCGACAUAAUCUCUCCUUGUGCAGGGAUAUAUUGGAUUUGUUGGAUGGCGCACAGGUAAAUGUAUAACUAAGUUUACUUGUAAUUUCUUCAAACAGAAGUUGCGUAUACUAACAUUUUGUGUUCUUCCUUAAUAGUUCAUCUGGACGCCAUACAGCGACGCGCUGAUAGCUUGCUUGCCCGAUUGUUGCUCAGUUGGCUGUGAUAUUUGGGCCUCUUCCGUCCCGUUAUCCUGCCUUAAUAUUGUGGAGCAUCAUGCCACCAAGCGGGUACUUCGCCAAUUUGGCAAGCUGCAGCUCGUACCGACAGCGCCCACCUGGGAGGCCAUAUAUUACUAGCGGGAUGAUUGUCACGGGGUGGACGACGCAUAUUUGGCAUGGCUACAGGAUCAGAUAUUUACUUGGGACCAGCGAUUAGAGCUGAUUCCGCCCCCUUCCACAAACUCUGGAGGAUGCUGAGCAUGAGUAUCUGCCCUGGUACCGCAACUUUACCCAACGUUUCAUCGGGAACCCCAUUCACCGAGCUGGCAGUCAGUACGUUCCAUACGUCGAGAGGCACGGGGAACUGAUAUGUUAUUUGGUAUUCUUACUUAUAAUUGUGAUAUAGCAUUCUAUAAUUUAUAUUUUUACAUGUUAUGCAGGAUAUUAGUCUACAUUUAGUCCACCAGUUGGGACUGCAGAUGCAACAGCAUGUCAGCGAUCCUGCGAUCGCUUUGCAGGAGUAUAGCCGGCAGUUUACGGAGCUGGCUGCCCGGACACUACAUCGAGCUAGAGAGAAAGAGCGCUUAGAGAACGCCCCUGCUUAUAUUGUGCCAGAGAACUACCAUAGGGUAGGCCCGUAGCAAGACAGAGGGGACGAGGCAGGGGUGCCCCACGGGGUCGUGGGGACCGGCGAGGAGGAGGUCCCCUGUCACGCCCCAAACUUGGGGAGGCUUAGUUGGCACCCGAUGUCGAGCUGGCCCGAGCGAACCACUCUGUAACUCAUAAUUAUUCGAUCAAAAGUAGAAGAUACCUAGUUCAAAUUAGCUGAACUCAUUCUUUUUGUAACUAUCAUGGGCCAACAUGACUAACAACUCAUAAUAUACAACUGUAAGUGGGCAACACUGUAUCAAUAAAACUAUCGUUCUUAAGACAUGAAUACAUAUGGGCCUUCAAGGACUCUAACAUACCGUAUAAACUGAACCUCUGUAUACAAAUCCUCUAAGAUUAAUUGACAUCAAGUGGGACAGGGUACCGACCCGUAAGUCUGUAGCAAAAAUCUGACACGAUGACACAUAGACUCGGCUGCACUCUGAAUGAGGUGGAGUCUUACCGAUCCUUCACUGAGUGCAAAUCUCGUCUACUAUGAGGGCUCGUGAAACUGAUUAUCUAUAUCUGCAGGCAUGAAUGCAGCAUCCCCAACAAAAGGACAUCAGUACGAAUAAUGUACUGAGUAUGUAAGGCAUGUAAAUAUAUAUAAAGAGCAUGGAGGAAACAUGAAGUAAAGGACUCAACCUGUAAGUCUGAAUAGCUCUGUAAAUCAUGAAAUANNNNNNNNNNNNNNNNNNNNNNNNNAUCCUAUCAUAUCAUUUCAGCCACUGUGGGCAGUAUCAUCAUCGUAUACCAGUUGAUCAGGUGGUGGUGCGUAUAUAACGCUAUAACCUUUCCUAUAUACAUAUAUAUACAUAUAUAUAUAUAUAUAUACAUAUAUAUAUAUAUAUACGCAUAUAUAACGCCAUAACAUCAUCACGCCUCUGAGGGCAUCCCAUCAUAUCAUCUCGACCACUGUAGGCAAAUUAUCAACGUAUACCAGCUGAUCAGGUGAUGGUGUGUAUAUAACGUCAUAACCUUUCCCAUAUCCCAUAUACAUAUACAUACAUAUAUACGCGUAUAUAACGCCGUCUGAGUCAUAUUUCAGCCAAUGUGGGCAACAUCAUCAUCAUAUACCAACUAAUUAGGUGGUGAUGUGUAUAUAACGCGUAACCUUUUUCCCGUAUCCCAUAUAAAUAUAAUAUACAUAUAUACGCGUAUAUAAUGUCAUCUGGUCAUGGGUCAAUGCACAUGUAUAAAUGGGUGAAAUGCAUGAAAAAUACGUAAUAACAUUAAUAUUCCUUCCGGAUAACCUUUUUCAACUGUGUAUUAUUCUGAGACCCAUGAACAUGAAGUAAUAAUAUUCUUCAUGGGGAAUCAAGAAUAAAGACACCUCUAAUAACUCUAUGAAUAGAGUAAUUUAUGGAAACUGUGUAUUUGUUUGUUUCUUCAAUAUAAUUUGGACCAUGCCAAAAGAAAGAAGGGAUGACCUUAACAUACCUGGACCAAUUCUCUUGACAAUCCUUCUAGUAAAAAUCUUUUGCGAAGAACACGUAACACCGAAUCAAAGUAGGAAAAAUAUCCUUAUAUUUUCCUAGUUGGCUAAUGGUUCUUGCAAAGUUUUCUUAUAUCUCCUCAGAUGUUAUAACGAUUAAUAUCAUUUUGGCAAUGGCUUCUUAUUUCUUAACCAUGAGUCUCCAAUGUCUUCCUUGAAGCCAACAUGAAAUCUCAAUUCACUGUUAAAAAGUCUUAAACAACUCAAAUUUCCUUAGUUUGAGAAAGUUUAUUCUAUUCUUGUUACCUGCAACGAACCAAAAGUCUAGCAAGUUAUUUGGUUUGCUUGGUAUAUGAUAAACGCGGUUUUCACCAAUUCAAAUAAAAUAAUUUAAAGAGGAACUCAAGAGAUUUCCAAAGACCUGUCAAGCUGGAUUUUAAAAUACUAUGAGAGUAUUAAAGCCAAACAAAUAUUCAAUAGACAAAAAAGACGCAAAGAAUAAAAAACUCUUGGUCAUGUGAUAAGAAUUUUGAAGUGUGCGCAAAAAAAUGAUGAAAGAAUAUUAAGUUAUCAUGAAGUUCUGUAAGUUGAUGUAAAUAAAUGUGAAGUACUACACUAAAAAAUCAUUUACAUCACAUGUUCUCAAGAGAAAUACCUUUAAAAAGAUUGUUUAUCAUCUACUGCAUCAAAUUUUAAAGAUGUAUAUCCUCAAAAAGGCAUAAACUUUUUCUCUUAAGUAAAGAAAAAAAAGAAGAGAGGAUUCAAAUCCAAACUUCAAAGCAUGUCUAGAGAGAACCAUAUCAUGAAUAGCAUUUUCCUGGACAUUUCUGUUGAACUUUUCUUUUUCAAGAUAGAGUUUUUGUGGCAUCUUUGUGUCUUGUGAUUCUUUUUGCUCUAACAGCAUUACUGAAUGCACUUAGUUUACUCCACACAUAUCUCAACUAGGUUGGGUUUUCUUGAUGACUUGGCCACAAUUCUCUAGAAUUGUGCCACUUAAUGCAUGACUCUAAGAGUCAUUAUUUGUGAUGACCCAAAAGGUCAUUAUUUGUUUUAAAAGUGAAUUCUACGUUUUGAGACCUUAAAAACCUCUUUCGGUAUUACCUUUAUUUGCGUGCACAGUCCGGGCGCAUAGCCAGAAAGCCACUUUGUGAAAUUCUGUGAAAAAUGAUGCAUUUUGCAUUUAAAAUGAGUUUAAGUUGACUUCGGUCAAUAUUUUAGGUAAACGUACCUGGACCCAUGAUUGGACAGUCCCGGAGGGUCCGUAGGAAAAUAUAGGACUUGGGCGUAUGCCCGGAAUCGAACUCCGAGGUCCCAAGCCCGAGAAAUGAAUUUUUUAAAGAAAAUUAUUUUCUGAAAUUGUUUAUGAUUUUUGAAAAUGAAAAGUGUUUAAAACUUGAUAGUAUCGGGCCCGUAUUUUAGUUUUGGCACCCGGUACAGGUCUUAUAUGUGAUUUAAGAUAAGUCUAUGAAGUUUGGUAAGAAACGGACUUGAAACGACGUGAAUCAAAUCGUUUUUGAGAAAAAUUGGAAAAUUUGAAGUUUUUAAGAAAUUUCAUGAUUUCGAUGCUAAAUUCAUAAUUGUUGAUGUUAUUUUAGUGAUUUGAAUGCACGAGCGAGUCUGUAUGAUGUUUUUAGGAUGGUGUGCAUAUUUGGUUUGGAGCCCCGAGGGCUCGGGUGAGUUUUGAAUAGGCCACGGGGUGGAUUUUUGGACUUAAGGAAUUACAGGCUUCAGCUGUUUCUGUGCAGGCCUGCAGGCUUCCCAUUUGCGAAGCCUGGCUAGCAAAUGCGAUAUCGCAAAUGUGAGGGCUAUGUCGCAAUUGUGAAAGUAGCCCAGGCCAGCCUAUCUUGCAAUUGCGAGUGUUUUAAUCGCAAAUGCGAUCCCCCAGCUUGUGGCCAGUCGUCGCAAAUACGACAGGUUGGUCGCAUUUUCCAGCUCGCAAAUACGAGCCCAUUUUCGCAAAUGCGAACUUAGCAGAAGUUUGGGUUUGCAAUUGCGAACCCUGAUCGCAAUUCUCAUAUCUGCAACCUGUAAUUUUAUAACUUAGCCGAAAAUCUCUCAUUUUUCACUCUUUCAAAACCAAAACAUUCUUGGGCGAUUUUUCAAAGAUAACUCUUCUUCCAAAUCGAUUGUAAGUCAAUUUUAACUCGUUUUCUGCAAUGAUUAACAUCUUUUCGCAUGAUUUCAACUCAAAAUCAAUGAUUUUCAUGGGGGAAAUUGGGUGUUUUGGGUAGAACUUAGGUUUUUCAAAAAUUGGGGAUUUGGACCUCAAUUUGAGGUCUGAUUUCGAAACAAAUUAUAUAUUUGGGUUCAUGGCGGAAUGGAUAAUCGGAUUUUGGUUCGAACCUCGGGUUUUGGCCAUGUGGGCCCGGGGGCGAUUUUUGACUUUUUGGGUAAAACUUUAGAAAACUCAUUUUUCAUGCAUUAGAAUUGAUUCAUUUAGCAUUUAUUAAUGUACUUAAGUAACUUGUAUCUAGAUACGAGCGAAUUGGUGGUGGAAUCAAGUGGUAAAGCGAUAGUAGAAGCUUGAAUUAUGUUCGUGGUAUCGAGGUAACUGUUUGGUCCAACCUUAGCUUGAGGGAUUAAGAGUCGAGUCCUAUUUGCUAAGUGGUAUUUGUCGAGUAUGACGUAUAGGCAUGGUGACGAGUAUCUAUACGUUGGUGUCAAGUAUGCCAGUGAGUCUUAUAUUGUGACUAUUACGACUUCGUUGUAUUAUUCAUGAUUUGAUGAUGAUUUCUAUUGUUGGGCAAAGUUUGUGGAAGUAAUUGAGACAUUUGAAUAUUGAGGAGCGUUGGCUCAAGUUGUACAAUGAAAUGUUAAAGUAUAAAUGGAAAUUGAACCUUUUAGAGCAUUGGCUCAAAGUGGUGAAGUGAGUUGUGAAGUAAAAAUGAAAAAGAGAAGAGAAUCAUUAUUUUAUCUCCCUUGCCGGGAUAUUGUUUCUUUUCAUAUUAUCUCCCUUGUCGGGAUGUUGAUGUUUCUUUUGAUGUUAUUCCCUUGCCGGGACUUGAUAGUUGAACUAUUGUUCCCUUGCCGGGAUUCUUAUCGUAAUUUCAUUUAUUCCCUCACCCUAUUAUUUGUGAUUGUUGUUUGGGUGAGGAAGAGUGUUAAAGCACGAAGGGUGAUGUCGUGUAUUGUUUUGGUGAGAGAGUGUUAAAGCACGAAGGGUGAUGCCGUGUAUGAUUUGUGAGGAAAGAGUGUAAAGCACGAAGGGUGAUGCUGUGUCGCACGAUGUACCAUUUCGUGCCGAUUAUAUUGAUUAUAUGGUUAGGGUGAGAGUAAAAGCACGAAGGGUGAUGCCGCGCACAUUUUCAUUACUUGAUUGCUUUGGUGAGGACGAGAGUAAAAGCACGAAGGGCGAUGUCGUGCAUUUAUUGAUUUCUGAUUCUUUGUUGAUAUCUGAGAUAUAUUGUUUCUUUCAAUUUCCUACUGUCUUUCUAUUCUAAAUUGAUAGUUCCCCCGCAACAUGUUAUCCAUCUCAUACUUGAUUGUAUAUUUCUGUUCUUUUUUUCCGUUAUAUAUAGUUAAAUUGCACAGGUUUAUUUGGUAGUCUGGUCCUAGCCUUGUCACUACUUCGCCGAGGUUAGGCUAGGCACUUACCAGCACAUGGGGUCGGUUAUGCUAAUACUACACUCUGCACUAUGUGCAAAUCCCGAAGCAACAACAUUUGGACCGUAGAUUGCUUCAGUCCACGCAGAGAUCCAAGGUAGACCUAUAGGCAUCCGCAGGCCCUGGCGUCUCCCUUUAUUCCUAUUUCAUUUCCUUAAUUCAGAAACAGUGUAUUGUUUGUUUUCAGACUUUGUAUGUAGCAUUCUUAAAUCAUUUGUGGUAUUGUGACACCAGUUCUGGGUGGUCGAGGUUCAUGCAGUUGUAUUAGACAUAUAUAUUCAGAUAAUUUACUGCAUUUCUUCCGCUUAUUGAAAUUUUCUACUGUCCACACGCUUUGGCUUUAUAAUUGUUAAAGAGUAUAAAAUGGAUAAAGAACCAAUUUGUUCAAAUAAUUGGCUUGCCUAGCUCACAUUAGUAGGCACCAUCACGACUCCCGGGGGAGGAAAAUCCGGGUCGUGACAAGUUGGUAUAAAAACUCUAGGUUACAUGGAUCUCACAGUUCACAGACUCCUGCUACUCGCACUCCGGAGCAGGUAGCUCCCCAGUUCCAGACUCCAGCAGUUCAGCCAGUUGGAGCAGUUCAGCCGAGUGUGGUAGCUCAGACCGGUGAUGAAGCAGUUAUGUUUGUCGAUGCUUUGUGGAGGUUGGACAGGUUCACCAAGCUCUUCACUACUACUUUCAGCGGUUCAUCUUCAGAGGAUCCCCAUGAUUAUCUAGACAGUUGUCAUGAGGUUCUUAGGAACGAGGGAAUAGUCGAGACCAAUGCGGUCGAUUUUGCUACUUUUCGCUUGUUUGGAUACGCGAAGACUUGGUGGAGAGAUUAUUGCUUGGCUAGAACAGUCGGAUCACCAGCUUUGACUUGGGAGCAAUUUACUCAACUAUUUCUGGAGAAGUUUCUCCCUAUUACUCAGAGAGAGAUCUAUCGGAGGCAGUUUGAGCGUCUCCAAUAGGGUUCCAUGACAGUUACUUAGUAUGAGACUAGAUUCAUCGACUUGACACGUCGUGCUCUUAUCAUACUUCCCACUGAGAGAGAUAGGGUGAGGAGGUUCAUUGAGGGACUUAUUCAGCCGAUUCGACUUCAGAUGGUCAAGGAGACUAGGAGUGAGAUUUCUUUCCAGGAGACGGCCAAUAUGCCCAGGAGAGUUGAGAUGGUUCUAUCGCAGGGAGGUGGUCAAGGGUCUGAAAAGAGGUCUCAUCAUUCAGGCCGAUUUAGUGGUACCUCGUCUGGA